rnacentral:lncRNA from 1 species
AAACAAUAUAUUUUUUUGUCAAAUUAUUUAACAAAUAUAUAAAAAACUAUGUCAUUCACACUUUUAAAGAAAUUUGCUCUACUUACAAGUUUUAAAGAAAUUACCUUGAUAAUCUCUAGAAUUGAAAAAUCGUUGAAAGAAAAGAUAAGAUGAAAGAAAAAUAUUUGAUUAAACAACACUUUCUCCGUCCCACGAAUUCACUUAAUAAAUAAAAAAUUAUGUCAUUCACUAACAAAGUGUUGAUCUACUUAAAAUUUUUAAAGAAAUUACCUUGCUGUUAAUCUUUAGAAAUGAAAAAUCGCUAAAAGAAAAAAGAAGCUGAAAAAAAAAAGUUUCAGAAAAUAAUAGUGUGCCUCGUGUUGCCAUGAUAAAUAAAUCGCAAAAAUAAUUAGAAAUGAAAAAUCGCUAAAGAAAAAAAGAAGCUGAAAAAAAAAUCGCAAAAAUUUGCUACAAGUAGGAUUCGAUCACAGAUAAACAAAGUCCAAAAAA